ensembl:lincRNA Gm15404 predicted gene 15404
AUUUAAGCCUUGGGCCUUUCUCAAUACAUUUGGGGCUUUGAUGCAUUCCAGAACGGUUUCCGUGUCCUGUCGUUAUUCGCACAAGGCCCUCGUCUCUCUCUACUCCCCACUUGGUUCUUAGGAGGAGGUCCCCUCAAGACCCUCAAAUAACUAGACCUGCUGGACAGGUCACAGUACAAGGCUCCACAGGAAUUCUGUGAGAGAGAAAGAGAGAAAAUCCCUGAAGCAUUGUUCUCCAGAUCCAAGUCCUUCUCUAAGAGAGCUGGUCUCCCCAGAGCACUGUCGCUACUACGUUAAUAGGUAGGAGGACCACUUUUUUUCCAAUAACUGGUCAAAAAGGGACUUGCCAGGAGACCACAGGGUC